rnacentral:rRNA from 1 species
GGUCAGGAUCGAUGAAGACCGCAGCUAAACGCGCGUCUGAAUGUGAACUGCAGGACACAUGAACACCGACACGUUGAACGCAUAUGGCGCAUCGGACGAUUCAACCCGACCGAUGUACACAUUCUUGAGUGCCUAC